AUGUAUGCCACGUUGUUAUAAAAAUUCUCUCCCUUGUGAGAAUAUAUAUAUAUUGUGUGUGAAAAGGGUCAAAAAAGAGUCCUAUUUACAUCCCUCUCUUCGGUUUUAAUGGAGAAAAAAUUCUGAAAAUUAUUCUUGCUUCGUUCUUCUUCGGCCCAGAAAUAGAAAAGGAAAUCACGCAUACAGGUAGUGAAUUAAUCAAUUGUGGAAUCUCAAAAAUGUCCACUGGAGAAGUCAGAAGGGUCUCUCGACAAGAUAUACAGCUGGUUCAAAAUCUAAUAGAGCGAUGCCUUCAACUGUACAUGAAUCAGAAAGAGGUGGUGGAGACGCUUUUGAUCCAAGCAAAAAUAGAACCUGGUUUUACGGAACUCGUGUGGCAAAAGCUUGAAGAAGAAAACCGGGAGUUUUUUAAAGCCUACCAUGUCAGAUUGAUGGUGAAACACCAGAUAAUGAUCUUUAACGAGUUGCUUGAGAAACAGGUGGAGCUCAUGCGUAAGACGUGCCCUGUUGGAAUUGGAAUGUCUAAUGGAUCUUCAUUGAAUCAGAAUCCUCCAUGUUUCAUGUCUGACCAGAGAGUGCAACCUUCAAGGCCGGAAAGCAUGCAUCACUCGGUGUCCCCUUCAACUACAAUCCGGAAUGGUGUGCAUGGUAACAUACAAUCUUCUGAUGAUUCAUCUGCUCAUACUGGAAGGAUGGAUGUCUCACAGAACAUGCUCCCAACUCACGAUGCACUGGGUAUGAUUCAAGGAGUGAAUGGGAUUGUCGUCAAAUCAGAAUCAGGUUACUCGAACAAUUCCCCGUUUGCAUUUGGUCUCGACGGAACUGUUCUGGACACACGUCCAACAGUUGUAGAUGCAUCCGUUGCAUCAUAUAGCAGUGUGGAGUCCAACUCUCAAGCCCUUAGUUCAUCACUCUUGGAUACUGAUGCUUCUUCGUUUGGCUUCUUAGGGCAGAUUCCUCGCAAUUUCAGUCUGUCAGAUUUGACGGCUGAUUUUUCUCAGAGUUCCGAUAUUCUGGAGAGCUACUCAAGAUCUCCAUUUCUAGCAGGAGAUACAGAUGACUUCCUGGAUUCCCCGGGAAGAGAACCUCAAGGAGAUAAUAAGAGGUUGGACACCAUAUCUGAAGGCUUGAGUUUCGACGAGUUUGGCAGUGAAUGAUUAGAGACUGCCAGUGGUUUUGGGGGUUCAUUAUUUUCGAGGGAAGAUGGGGGGACGUACGUGUGGGAAUAAUGAUCUACAGUAGCAACCUAGGACAGAAGUAAUUGUACAUAGCCAUUCUGGAAAUAUGUGGAGAAAUGUUUAUGCACUGCGUCCAAAGAAAGGCAUUUGUUUAAAGAGAGGUAUUUAUCUUAAAUCUAUCAUUGUGAGCAGUUUUCAAUUAUCUCACUGAGGCCACCUUGGUAGAUUUUGAGAUUAAAUGCUUACUAACCAAAAGUCUUCCAUUAUAACUGUUAGGAAGUUUAAAUCAAUUUCAAGUGAAUGUCUUUUUUUUUUCUUUUCUUAUCUACUUGGGGAGAAUUGUGUGAUUGAAUUCCAUUAGGUCUUUUUAUAUUGGGUUUAGAGUUUUGUAUAAAUAAUAAUAAUAUUAUGAGAUGCAGAUUUGGCUUACAAUAGUAGAGUUUCGGUAGAUGUUCCUUUUUACACUUUGUAUCAAAUGAAUUGAUAUUAUUGGACAGUGGAAUGUUACUUCAUAUCUUUUA